UAAGGAAACAGAACAAUCUGUUAGGACUCAUGUUGGAAUGAGCAGCCUAAAGAUUGGAACAUGUUCGCUAGGACUUGGCUGGUGCAUCGAGUGGCUUGGAGAUUUGUUGAAUCUACUAAGACUUGAGUACGCAGUAUGUUCCUACGGACUGAAUUUGAUCUAGUCAUGGAUUAAGAUCCGGAAAAGAAUAAAGUCUAGAGCAGACGACAUUCUAAAGAGAGAUAUGGAC
rnacentral:lncRNA from 1 species